GAUGAACGCUGGCGGCAUGCCUAAUACAUGCAAGUCGAACGGUUUAGGCCAGAAGGGAAAGUGCUUGCACAGGACUGGAAGGAAUCACUAAACAGUGGCGGACGGGUGAGUAACACGUAAGUAAUCUACCUAAUAGACCGAGACAACUACUGGAAACGGUAGCUAAUAUUGGAUAACUAUACUAAUUGCAUGAUAAGUAUAUAAAAGGUUGGGGUACAAUGCUAUUAGAUGAGCUUGCGGUGCAUUAGCUAGUUGGAGAGGUAAGGGCUCCCCAAGGCGACGAUGCAUAGCCGGACUGAGAGGUUGAACGGCCACAUUGGGACUGAGACACGGCCCAAACACCUACGGGUGGCAGCAGUAGGGAAUUUUUCGCAAUGGACGGAAGUCUGACGGAGCAAUGCCGCGUGAGUGAAGAAGGUUUUAGGGUUGUAAAGCACUUUCAACGGGGAAGACAAUGACGGUAACAGCAGAAGAAGCCCCGGCUAACUCCGUGCCAGCAGCCGCAGUAACAC
rnacentral:rRNA from 1 species